rnacentral:piRNA from 1 species
UGAGUGUUGUGGGGAAUGCUACGCUGC